rnacentral:antisense_RNA from 1 species
CUUCACCGAACCCAACCACAACGGCCGAUCGCGGUCCCGGCCGUAAGUCGCCAGCAGCGCCUGCGCCUC